GUCAGGAACCCCACGGCUAUAAGCCGGGGCUUUGAAAAAGCCUAUACCUGACCAGUCCUAAGUGCUUAGCGCACUACGUUAACGGCAAGAGUUAAAAGUCCUACCUACGGAUGCGUGCCAGUCUGUAGCUCUAGA
rnacentral:sRNA from 21 species